CAGAUACAUCUUAAACUAUCUACGUACUGGAAAGCUCAUCUUCCCUAAAGAAACAAAGUUUUGGCGAGAGAGCUUUACCUCGAGGCUGAGUUUUACCAGAUCAGUGAUAUUUAGAAAGAAAUUUGGCCGGGAACCACUUUGCAAAAUUCAAGUCACAUUGUCAAUACCCUGACGGACGAGCAAAGAAACACAUUGUUGUCUUGGCUACCCGUGAAAGAAAUGUUCUUCAACUGGGUCCAGCUAUACAGUUGUGCAACAAAUGGAUGGCAGUCAUCCUAUGUUCAUCAAAAUUGUGACAACAAAGGUCCCACUCUCGUCAUUGCGAAAUAUGGGAAUUACGUUUUUGGAGGUUAUGCUGAAGUUUCUUGGAAUUCAA